rnacentral:rRNA from 1 species
GAUAUCAGGAGGAACACCGAUGGCGAAGGCAGGUCUCUGGGCAUUAACUGACGCUGAGGAGCGAAAGCAUGGGGAGCGAACAGGAUUAGAUACCCUGGUAGUCCAUGCCGUAAACGUUGGGCACUAGGUGUGGGGGACAUUCCACGUUUUCCGCGCCGUAGCUAACGCAUUAAGUGCCCCGCCUGGGGAGUACGGCCGCAAGGCUAAAACUCAAAGGAAUUGACGGGGGCCCGCACAAGCGGCGGAGCAUGCGGAUUAAUUCGAUGCAACGCGAAGAACCUUACCAAGGCUUGACAUGAACCGGAAAUACCUGGAAACAGGUGCCCCGCUUGCGGUCGGUUUACAGGUGGUGCAUGGUUGUCGUCAGCUCGUGUCGUGAGAUGUUGGGUUAAGUCCCGCAACGAGCGCAACCCUCGUUCUAUGUUGCCAGCGCGUUAUGGCGGGGACUCAUAGGAGACUGCCGGGGUCAACUCGGAGGAAGGUGGGGACGACGUCAAAUCAUCAUGCCCCUUAUGUCUUGGGCUUCACGCAUGCUACAAUGGCCGGUACAAAGGGUUGCGAUACUGUGAGGUGGAGCUAAUCCCAAAAAGCCGGUCUCAGUUCGGAUUGGGGUCUGCAACUCGACCCCAUGAAGUCGGAGUCGCUAGUAAUCGCAGAUCAGCAACGCUGCGGUGAAUACGUUCCCGGGCCUUGUACACACCGCCCGUCAAGUCACGAAAGUUGGUAACACCCGAAGCCGGUGGCCUAACCCCUUGUGGGAGGGAGCUGUCGAAGGUGGGACUGGCGAUUGGGACUAAGUC